rnacentral:rRNA from 1 species
UGCACCGGUACACCUGGAAUACUACCCCCCUCUACAGAGACUCUAGCCUGCNCAGUUUCGAAUGCAGUUCCCAGGUUGAGCCCGGGGAUUUCACGAUCCGACUUGACAGACCGCCUGCGUGCGCUUUACGCCCAGUAAUUCCGAUUAACGCUUGCACCCUCCGUAUUACCGCGGCUGCUGGCACGGAGUUAGCCGGUGCUUCUUCUGCGGGUAACGUCAAUCGAUGAGGUUAUUAACCUCANCGCCUUCCUCCCCGCUGAAAGUGCUUUACAACCCGAAGGCCUUCUUCACACACGCGGCAUGGCUGCAUCAGGCUUGCGCCCAAUUGUUGCAAAUAAUUCCCCCAACUGCUUGCCUUCCCGG